GGGUGUGAGGGUGAUCUGGCUGUGACAUCUGUCACCCCACUGAUGGCCAGGGUGGAUUCAGCUGAUCAGGCUGGUAGGCGGGUGCCCCCUUCUUCCCUCAUUGCUCCAUGUGUGUCCCUUCUGAAGCUGCACGCUCCGAUGACCUUCCCCAAUAGCAGAGGACCAUCUUUCAUUCAAGGGUAUACGAGUAACUGCGCUCCCUCCCUAGGACCUCCAGACAAGCUCUCAAGGUCCAUUUGUUGGACACCGUAGGGUAGUCAAGCUCCCAAGACUCCAGACACAGCCAAUGAGAUGUGGCGUGUGGCAGUCUGCCUUUCU
rnacentral:snRNA from 1 species